rnacentral:rRNA from 1 species
CCUACGGGAGGCAGCAGUGAGGAAUAUUCGUCAAUGGACGCAAGUCUGAACCAGCCAUGCCGCGUGCAGGAAGACGGCUCUAUGAGUUGUAAACUGCUUUUGUACGAGGGUAAACGCAGAUACGCGCAUCUGUCUGAAAGUAUCGUACGAAUAAGGAUCGGCUCACUCCGUGCCAGGCGCCGCGGCAAGACGGAGGAUUCAAGGGUUAGGCGGAUUUAUUUGGUGUAAAGGGUGCGUAGGCGGUCGGAUAAGUUAGAGGUGAAAUCCCUGGGCUCAACUUCGGAAUUGCCUCUGAUACUGGUAGGCUAGAGAGCAGUAGAGGUGGGCGGAAUGUAUGGUGUAGCGGUGAAAUGCUUAGAUAUCACGCAGAACUCCGAUUGCGAAGGCAGCAUACUGGCGCGCGACUGACGCUGAAGCACGAAAGCGUGGGUAUCGAACAGGAUUAGAUACCCCUGUAGUC